rnacentral:rRNA from 1 species
AAAUUGAAGAGUUUGAUCAUGGCUCAGAUUGAACGCUGGCGGCAGGCCUAACACAUGCAAGUCGAACGGUAACAGGAAGCAGCUUGCUGCUUCGCUGACGAGUGGCGGACGGGUGAGUAAUGUCUGGGAAACUGCCUGAUGGAGGGGGAUAACUACUGGAAACGGUGGCUAAUACCGCAUAACGUCGCAAGACCAAAGAGGGGGACCUUCGGGCCUCUUGCCAUCAGAUGUGCCCAGAUGGGAUUAGCUAGUUGGUGAGGUAACGGCUCACCAAGGCGACGAUCCCUAGCUGGUCUGAGAGGAUGACCAGCCACACUGGAACUGAGACACGGUCCAGACUCCUACGGGAGGCAGCAGUGGGGAAUAUUGCACAAUGGGCGCAAGCCUGAUGCAGCCAUGCCGCGUGUAUGAAGAAGGCCUUCGGGUUGUAAAGUACUUUCAGCGGGGAGGAAGGUGUUGUGGUUAAUAACCACAGCAAUUGACGUUACCCGCAGAAGAAGCACCGGCUAA